rnacentral:rRNA from 1 species
ACGAUGAAGAACGCAGCGAAGUGCGAUAGGCAAUGCGAAUUGCAGAACCGUGAGUCAUCAGAUUUUUGAACGCAACUGGCACCGAGGGGAUAUCCCCUCGGUAUGCCUGUCUCAGUGUGUGUUUUUUUCCUCACCCAAAUCUUAAUGUGAAAGAUGCCCUUCUUUCAUUAAACACGAAAGCACUCUGCGCUUUGCAGUGACCUUCGGGUCGCACUCAAUGCAGCAGUCACAUUUUACAAUGUGAACUCAUUGAGCGUAAAGGCAGUGCAGCUCGUCUGCCAGUGCUUAGAGUUACAAAUUUUACUUGCAUCUGAGAUCAGGUAGGACCACCCGCUGAACUUAAGCAUAUCACUAAGCGGAGGAAAAGAAACUAACCAGGAUUGUCUCAGUACCGGCGAGGGAAGCGGCAAGAGCCCAAGGUGGUAAUCUCCGGCCUGAGGUCGGCGAAUUGUAAUCUAAAGGGACGGAGCCUAACGGGCUGAGGCGCAGAAGUGGUCACGAGAGACCCGCCAGAGAGGGUGAAAGCCCCGUAUGUGGUGCCUCGGCUUACCGGGCUGCGGACUGAAGAGUCGAGUUGUUUUGUAUUGCAGCUCUAAGUGGGAGAUAAACUUCUCCUAAGGCUAAAUACGUGUGGGAAACCGAUAGCGAACAAGUACUGUGAAGGAAAGAUGAAAAGCACUUUGAAAAGAGAGUUAAAAGACCUGAAAUCGUUGAGGCGGAAGCGGUAGAAGAUAAUUCUGGCUGCGGCACCGCGAACCCUGCGUUAGCGGGGGGGUAGUGACGCGGCAUGAGCCAGGAUGGGGUCGUACGACGGCAGAGGCGGCAGGCGCGCGGGUGGCGACACCAGCGUCGGUUGGCCGGUCGGGUGCGGCUCGAAGGGCUUAGUGCGAUCUUGGCAAAAUGGAUUUUACCGACCCGUCUUGAAACACGGACCAAGGAGUCUAACACGCGCGCGAGUCUGGUGGUGGAAAAACCAACGGGCGAAAUGAAAGUGAUUGGUGCCAAGUGUACGCAGCAUCGACCGACCUUGAUCCACUGGUGAAGGGUUUGAGUAAGAGCGUGCUUGUUAGGACCCGAAAGAUGGUGAACUAUGCCUGAUUAGGGUGAAGUCAGGGGAAACUCUGAUGGAAGCUCGUAGCGAUACUGACGUGCAAAUCGUUCGUCGAAAUUGGGUAUAGGGGCGAAAGACUAAUCGAACCAUCUAGUAGCUGGUUCCCUCCGAAGUUUCCCUCAGGAUAGCUGGGACAAUGACGCAGUUUUAUUAGGUAAAGCGAAUGAUUAGAGGCAUCGGGGAUAAAAUGUCCUCGACCUAUUCUCAAACUUUAAAUUGGUAAGAACCCUGGCUUCGGCUUAGUUGAAGUACGGGGGCUCAAUGCGUGUCCUUAGUGGGCCAUUUUUGGUAAGCAGAACUGGCGAUGAGGGGUGCUCCUAACGUUGGGUUAAGGUGCCUAACUACACGCUCAUCAGAAACUACAAAGGGUGUUAGCUCAUUUAGACAGCAGGACGGUGGCCAUGGAAGUCGGAAUCCGCUAAGGAGUGUGUUACAACUCACCUGCCGAAUGAACUAGUCCCGAAAAUGGAUGGCGCUCAAGCGUGUGACCGAUACCCGACCAUUGGCGCGAGAGUUAGGCGUCAAUGAGUAGGAGGGCGUGGGCGUCGUUGUGAAGCCUCUGGCGUGAGCCUGGGUAGAACGGCGUCUAGUGCAGAUCUUGGUGGUAGUA